GUUGAACGCUGGCGGCAGGCCUAACACAUGCAAGUCGAACGAGGGGCGGGCGGGUGAGAAAUGUCUGUAACACUCCCUGAUGGAGGGGGAUAACUACUGGAAACGGUAGCUAAUACCGCAUACCAUCAGAUUAUCCCAGGUGGGAUUAGCUAGUUGGUGGGGUAACGGCUUACCAAGGCGACGAUCCCUAGCGGGUCUGAGAGGAUGACCAGCCACACUGGAACUGAGACACGGUCCAGACUCCUACGGGAGGCAGCAGUGGGGAAUAUUGCACAAUGGGCGAAAGCCUGACGCAGCCACGCCGCGUGUAUGAAGAAGGCCUUCGGGUCGUAAAGCACUGUCAGCGGGGAGGCGUUACCUAAAGAAGAAGCCCCGGCUAACUCCGUGCCAGCAGCCGCGGUAAUAC
rnacentral:rRNA from 1 species